AAUGGGCGAAAGCCUGACGCAGCAACGCCGUGUGAGGGAUGAAGGCUUUCGGGUCGUAAACCUCUGUCAGAAGGGAAGAACGGGCAUUGGUCUAAUAGGCCUUUGUUUUGACGGUACCUUCAGAGGAAGCACCGGCUAACUCCGUGCCAGCAGCCGCGGUAAUACGGAGGGUGCAAGCGUUAUUCGGAAUUACUGGGCGUAAAGCGCACGUAGGCCGCUUUGUAAGUCAGGGGUGAAAUCCCACGGCUCAACCGUGGAACUGCCCUUGAAACUGCGAAGCUUGAAUCCUGGAGAGGGUGGCGGAAUUCCUGGUGUAGGAGUGAAAUCCGUAGAUAUCAGGAGGAACACCGGUGGCGAAGGCGGCCACCUGGACAGGUAUUGACGCUGAGGUGCGAAAGUGUGGGGAGCAAA
rnacentral:rRNA from 1 species